UAAGCGACUAAGCGUACACGGUGGAUGCCCUGGCAGUCAGAGGCGAUGAAGGACGUGCUAAUCUGCGAUAAGCGUCGGUAAGGUGAUAUGAACCGUUAUAACCGGCGAUUUCCGAAUGGGGAAACCCAGUGUGAUUCGUCACACUAUCAUUACGUGAAUACAUAGCGUAAUGAAGCGAACCGGGGGAACUGAAACAUCUAAGUACCCCGAGGAAAAGAAAUCAACCGAGAUUCCCCCAGUAGCGGCGAGCGAACGGGGAGCAGCCCAGAGUCUGAAUCAGCUUGUGUGUUAGUGGAACGGUCUGGAAAGUCCGACGGUACAGGGUGAUAGUCCCGUACACCAAAAUGCACAGGUUGUGAACUCGAAGAGUAGGGCGGGACACGUGGUAUCCUGUCUGAAUAUGGGGGGACCAUCCUCCAAGGCUAAAUACUCCUGACUGACCGAUAGUGAACCAGUACCGUGAGGGAAAGGCGAAAAGAACCCCGGCGAGGGGAGUGAAAAAGAACCUGAAACCGUGUACGUACAAGCAGUGGGAGCCUCUUUAUGGGGUGACUGCGUACCUUUUGUAUAAUGGGUCAGCGACUUAUAUUCUGUAGCAAGGUUAACCGUAUAGGGGAGCCGAAGGGAAACCGAGUCUUAACUGGGCGUUAAGUUGCAGGGUAUAGACCCGAAACCCGGUGAUCUAGCCAUGGGCAGGUUGAAGGUUGGGUAACACUAACUGGAGGACCGAACCGACUAAUGUUGAAAAAUUAGCGGAUGACUUGUGGCUGGGGGUGAAAGGCCAAUCAAACCGGGAGAUAGCUGGUUACUCCCCGAAAGCUAUUUAGGUAGCGCCUCGUGAAUUCAUCUUCGGGGGUAGAGCACUGUUUCGGCUAGGGGGUCAUCCCGACUUACCAACCCGAUGCAAACUGCGAAUACCGAAGAAUGUUAUCACGGGAGACACACGGCGGGUGCUAACGUCCGUCGUGAAGAGGGAAACAACCCAGACCGCCAGCUAAGGUCCCAAAGUCACAGUUAAGUGGGAAACGAUGUGGGAAGGCACAGACAGCCAGGAUGUUGGCUUAGAAGCAGCCAUCAUUUAAAGAAAGCGUAAUAGCUCACUGGUCGAGUCGGCCUGCGCGGAAGAUGUAACGGGGCUAAACUGUGCACCGAAGCUGCGGCAGCGACACUAUGUGUUGUUGGGUAGGGGAGCGUUCUGUAAGCCGUUGAAGGUGUGUCGUGAGGCAUGCUGGAGGUAUCAGAAGUGCGAAUGCUGACAUAAGUAACGAUAAUGCGGGUGAAAAACCCGCACGCCGGAAGACCAAGGGUUCCUGUCCAACGUUAAUCGGGGCAGGGUGAGUCGACCCCUAAGGCGAGGCCGAAAGGCGUAGUCGAUGGGAAACAGGUUAAUAUUCCUGUACUUGGUGUUACUGCGAAGGGGGACGGAGAAGGCUAUGUUAGCCGGGCGACGGUUGUCCCGGUUUAAGCAUGUAGGCGGAGGUUCCAGGUAAAUCCGGUACCUUUUUAACGCUGAGGUGUGAUGACGAGGCACUACGGUGCUGAAGUAACAAAUGCCCUGCUUCCAGGAAAAGCCUCUAAGCAUCAGGUAGCACGAAAUCGUACCCCAAACCGACACAGGUGGUCAGGUAGAGAAUACCAAGGCGCUUGAGAGAACUCGGGUGAAGGAACUAGGCAAAAUGGUGCCGUAACUUCGGGAGAAGGCACGCUGAUAUGUAGGUGAAGUGAUUUACUCAUGGAGCUGAAAUCAGUCGAAGAUACCAGCUGGCUGCAACUGUUUAUUAAAAACACAGCACUGUGCAAACACGAAAGUGGACGUAUACGGUGUGACGCCUGCCCGGUGCCGGAAGGUUAAUUGAUGGGGUUAUCCGUAAGGAGAAGCUCUUGAUCGAAGCCCCGGUAAACGGCGGCCGUAACUAUAACGGUCCUAAGGUAGCGAAAUUCCUUGUCGGGUAAGUUCCGACCUGCACGAAUGGCGUAAUGAUGGCCAGGCUGUCUCCACCCGAGACUCAGUGAAAUUGAACUCGCUGUGAAGAUGCAGUGUACCCGCGGCAAGACGGAAAGACCCCGUGAACCUUUACUAUAGCUUGACACUGAACACUGGUCCUUGAUGUGUAGGAUAGGUGGGAGGCUUUGAAGUGUGGACGCCAGUCUGCAUGGAGCCAACCUUGAAAUACCACCCUUUAAUGGCUGGUGUUCUAACGUGGGCCCGUAAUCCGGGUUGCGGACAGUGUCUGGUGGGUAGUUUGACUGGGGCGGUCUCCUCCUAAAGAGUAACGGAGGAGCACGAAGGUUAGCUAAUCCUGGUCGGACAUCAGGAGGUUAGUGCAAAGGCAUAAGCUAGCUUGACUGCGAGAGUGACGGCUCGAGCAGGUGCGAAAGCAGGUCUUAGUGAUCCGGUGGUUCUGAAUGGAAGGGCCAUCGCUCAACGGAUAAAAGGUACUCCGGGGAUAACAGGCUGAUACCGCCCAAGAGUUCAUAUCGACGGCGGUGUUUGGCACCUCGAUGUCGGCUCAUCACAUCCUGGGGCUGAAGUAGGUCCCAAGGGUAUGGCUGUUCGCCAUUUAAAGUGGUACGCGAGCUGGGUUUAGAACGUCGUGAGACAGUUCGGUCCCUAUCUGCCGUGGGCGCUGGAGAAUUGAGGGGGGCUGCUCCUAGUACGAGAGGACCGGAGUGGACGCAUCACUGGUGUUCGGGUUGUCAUGCCAAUGGCAUUGCCCGGUAGCUAAAUGCGGAAGAGAUAAGUGCUGAAAGCAUCUAAGCACGAAACUUGCCCCGAGAUGAGUUCUCCCUGAGACUUUAAGUCUCCUGAAGGAACGUUGAAGACGACGACGUUGAUAGGUCGGGUGUGUAAGUGUAGCGAUACAUUGAGCUAACCGAUACUAAUGAACCGUGAGGCUUAACCU
rnacentral:rRNA from 1 species